ACACGAUUCUCCAACAUGGCGGCGGCGGCCCUGCGGAGUGGCUGGUGCCGCUGUCCACGGAGAUGCCUCGGCAGUGGAAUCCAAUUUCUUUCCAGCCACAACCUACCCCAUGGGUCGACCUAUCAGAUGCGCCGGCCGGGCGGAGAGCUGCCACUGUCCAAAUCAUAUUCUUCUGGAAACAGAAAAGGCUUUCUGUCCGGCUUGCUAGAUAAUGUCAAACAAGAAUUAGCCAAAAACAAAGAAAUGAAAGAAAGUAUAAAAAAAUUCCGUGACGAGGCCAGAAGGCUAGAAGAAUCAGACGUGCUCCAGGAGGCCAGAAGGAAAUACGUGAGUUUCUUUGCUGCUUUUUUUUCCCUCACCCAGGCUGGAGAGUAGUGGUGCGAUCUCGGCUCACUGCAACCUCCACCUCCCAGGUUCAAGUGAUUCCCCUGCCUCAGCCUCCUGAGUAGCUGGGCUUACAGGCGCGCACCACCACGCCCAGCUAAUUUUUGUAUUUUUAGUAGUGAAGAGGUUUCACCAUGUUGGCCAGGCUGGUCUCGAACUCCUGACCUCAAGU
rnacentral:lncRNA from 10 species